AUUGAACGCUGGCGGCAUGCCUUACACAUGCAAGUCGAACGGCAGCACGGGUGCUUGCACCUGGUGGCGAGUGGCGAACGGGUGAGUAAUACAUCGGAACGUACCUUAUCGUGGGGGAUAACGCAGCGAAAGUUGCGCUAAUACCGCAUACGCCCUGAGGGGGAAAGCGGGGGACCGUAAGGCCUCGCGCGAUUAGAGCGGCCGAUGUCUGAUUAGCUUGUUGGUGAGGUAAAAGCUCACCAAGGCGAUGAUCAGUAGCUGGUCUGAGAGGACGAUCAGCCACACUGGGACUGAGACACGGCCCAGACUCCUACGGGAGGCAGCAGUGGGGAAUUUUGGACAAUGGGGGCAACCCUUGAUCCAGCAAUGCCGCGUGAGUGAAGAAGGCCUUCGGGUUGUAAAGCUCUUUUGUCAGGGAAGAAACAGCAGCU
rnacentral:rRNA from 1 species